UUUUACAGCCGGUUAGGGUUCAGCCGAACCAAAUCCGGCAAUGCUGACUGCAAUGUUGAGGUCCUUCACCACCCUCCUCCUCUCCGCUCUCCGCCGCUCGGAGAGUAACAAGUUCCGGCCGCUCGCCAUCCUCGUCCUCGGCGGCCGAACGAGCCACGGACGACAGGGAGCCAUGGCGGAAGGAGGUCCUUCUACACGGGGAGGAUCGACGAGAUCCAUGAGGUCCGAGGGAAGGACGGGGUUGGCGCGAAGAUGGACUCGAUGGGCCUAGAGAGGGGGAAGAGCAUCACGAUCCAGUCCGCAGCUACCUACUGCACCUGGAACGGAUAUCAGAUUAAUAUCAUUAAUACUCCUGCCACAAGGAUUUCACCAUUGACCGAGUCAAUACAACCUGCAAAUCAAGGCACGAGUACUGGAGGAGCAACAAGGCAAGCUAAGCUAUGACAUCAUAGUGCGGCAAAAUCUAAGCUAUGACAUCAUAGUGCGGUGAUGCAAGUUCCAAUUGGAUUAGAAGAGGAAUUUGAGGAGUUUGUAGAUCUUGUAGAUUUGAAAGCAUAUAACUUCCAUGGAGCCAUCGGUGAGAGAAUUGUAACAGCUGAUAUUCCACAACUUGGAGGCACCGGUUACAGAAAAGCGGUGUGAGCUUAUUGAGGUUGUCUCUGAAUUAGAUGAUAAACUCGCUGAAGCUUUGCUUAAUGAUGAACUGAUAUCUCCCGAUGACAUCAAGGUACACUAUGAAGAU